rnacentral:ncRNA from 1 species
CCCGCUUAGUUUUAUCAUAUAAUUAAGCGGAAGAAAAUAAACUUACAAGGAUUCCCCUAGUAAUGGUGAGCGAACUGGGAAGAGCCCAACAUGAAAAUCAGGUGCUAGCGCUGCUUGAAUUGUAGUAUGUAUAAGCAUCCUUAGCAAUGGAUCGGGCCCAAUUCCCCUAUAAGGGGGCACCUGAGAGGGUGAUAGGCCCAUUGGGCCUAGAACCUGCCACACCACGAGACGCUGUUGACGAGUUGGGUUGUUUGGGAAUGCAACCCUAAUCGGGUGGUAAAUUCUUUCCAAGACUAAAUAUGGGCAAGAGACCGAUAGGGAAGAAGUAUCAUGAGG